UAAUUGAUUCCCGAGAGCAUACCGCCUAGUAUCCGCCAUGGACGCCAUGAAGCUAUUCACUCCGAUCUCAAACCUACAACAAAAUCAUCGCCUAGAACUUCCUGAUAUGAGACAAAGACACCGAGAUGUGAUCGGAGUGAGGGUGGAUGGGGAAGGAAGCUUAGAUCGACGCGGUGGAUUGCAAUAAUUAGGAAGUCGCGAGGAAAGGUGAGAUCGCCGCCGAAGAGGAAUUCGUACAGAAACGGUCACACUGGUGCCGAAGACUUCAGUCUUUUGACGUAAGUUUCGGGAUAUUG
rnacentral:lncRNA from 1 species